rnacentral:tRNA from 1 species
GAUGGGGUGGCUGAAAUUUUAGGUGAUAAAUUGUAAAUUUAUUUAUGGUUGAUAAACCCUCCAUCA